UUUCCGUGUUUCCUGUGCGGUGUGUAUUUCUAGCCUUUAUAUAGACUACAGAGAUAUUUCAAUAUUGGUCUUUAUCCUUGAAUCUGUAUAAGCAUGGCCUUUAUCGUUGAUUCUGCAUUAGCAGUCAUACCCAUGUUCCUCUGCAUUCUAUUUGAAUUGGUAAUGUUAUUUGUCAAAUAAACUUUGGCUAAUCUGAACUUAAUGAGGUCAUAUCAUAUGAUUUUUUUGGUUAUAGUAUUUUUUAAACCUGUAAUUUUAACAUAGGAAGAUGUUAAAUGUGACCUCACAUUGCCCAAUGAUCUGGGUUUUUAAGCCAUCUGUGUCUAUAUCAUCAUUUGGCAUGUAAACAUUAGUGAUCAUUUGUUUGACAAUAAUUUACUUAUAUCUUUCUUUGUAAUUCAAAGGAUGGUUAUAUUUGAUUUCUUGAUUGUUCAAUUAUUAAGCGUUACCAAUUUCAUCACCUGUCGGUAGAAUAGAUACACUUAAAAUGUAGUUUGAAAUUGGAAGAUAACUUGUAUAUGCAUAUGGCAUCCACCACACAUGCAACUUGCUUUGUUUAAAUGAAAAGACAGCAAGCAAUUAUGAGGGUGAUUUUUUCAAGUAGGCCAAACCAGAGACAUUGGACAAAGUGUGUGAAAUUGUGAGGAACCAGUUGGCACUAGCACCUGACGCUGUUGUCAAUGGAGAGUCAAAGU
rnacentral:misc_RNA from 1 species